rnacentral:rRNA from 1 species
GUCCAGACUCCUACGGGAGGCAGCAGUGGGGAAUAUUGCACAAUGGGGGAAACCCUGAUGCAGCAACGCCGCGUGAGUGAAGAAGUAUUUCGGUAUGUAAAGCUCUAUCAGCAGGGAAGAAAAUGACGGUACCUGAGUAAGAAGCCCCGGCUAACUACGUGCCAGCAGCCGCGGUAAUACGUAGGGGGCAAGCGUUAUCCGGAUUUACUGGGUGUAAAGGGAGCGUAGACGGCGAUACAAGUCUGAAGUGAAAGCCCGGGGCUCAACCCCGGGACUGCUUUGGAAACUGUGUUGCUGGAGUGCUGGAGAGGCAAGCGGAAUUCCUAGUGUAGCGGUGAAAUGCGUAGAUAUUAGGAGGAACACCAGUGGCGAAGGCGGCUUACUGGACUGUAACUGACGUUGAGGCUCGAAAGCGUGGGGAGCAAACAGGAUUAGAUACCCUCGUAC